CGUGCCUAAAACGUUAUCCGCAGUCCAGGUCCUCCCGAGUUGGAUCCUAAUGCAAGGACGACACCAAUAGACAUCCAUCAAAAAUAUUAAUGGGCAAAUUCCGUAACGUGUCUCGACUCUGGGUCAUCAUCUUCGUUUUUCGUUUUGGUGGUGUGUGGUACAGGUGGUUGUGGUUGUCGUCGUCGUUAUCGAUUAAACAACCCCAAAAUUCAGCUCAUAUCGAAUCUAUUGCAGUAGGAGAAGUGCAGCUCUUGUUAUUUUGAACUAUUGGUCAGGUUUGGUGUAACAUAUGGCGACUUUUGAAGGAAAAGUUACAUUCGCUUCACUUUCUAAGCAAGGAAAGGAGAAAAAUCUAUACCCUCAUGUCGAUGACUAUGGUAAUUCUGUAUGGCCUGCCUCGAAAGGUGUGGCUGGUCACCAAUUAGGCUCAAAGUCUGCGAAAGAAGAUUUUUCUAUCCAGUUUCCAUUCGAGUCUGAAGACUUCAUUGAUGGGGGAUAUGAUUCAAGUGAGGAUCUUUGUAAUACAAUGCAAAUAAGUAGGCCUCCAGAAGUCAACUUGAAAAAUGUUUUAAGUGGGAU
rnacentral:misc_RNA from 1 species